rnacentral:rRNA from 1 species
UACGUAGGGUGCAAGCGUUGUCCGGAAUUAUUGGGCGUAAAGAGCGUGUAGGCGGCCCGAUUAGUCCGCUGUGAAAGUCCAGGGCUCAACCCUGGAAUGCCGGUGGAUACUGUCGGGCUAGAGUCCGGAAGGGGCGAGUGGAAUUCCUGGUGUAGCGGUGAAAUGCGCAGAUAUCAGGAGGAACACCGGUGGCGAAGGCGGGUCUCUGGGCCGAUACUGACGCUGAGGAGCGAAAGCGUGGGUAGCAAACAGG